AGUGAACGCUGGCGGUAGGCCUAACACAUGCAAGUCGAACGGCAGCACAGUAAGAGCUUGCUCUUACGGGUGGCGAGUGGCGGACGGGUGAGGAAUACAUCGGAAUCUACUUUUUCGUGGGGGAUAACGUAGGGAAACUUACGCUAAUACCGCAUACGACCUACGGGUGAAAGCAGGGGAUCUUCGGACCUUGCGCGUUUGAAUGAGCCGAUUCCGGAUUAGCUAGUUGGCGGGGUAAAGGCCCACCAAGGCGACGAUCCGUAGCUGGUCUGAGAGGAUGAUCAGCCACACUGGAACUGAGACACGGUCCAGACUCCUACGGGAGGCAGCAGUGGGGAAUAUUGGACAAUGGGCGCAAGCCUGAUCCAGCCAUACCGCGUGGGUGAAGAAGGCCUUCGGGUUGUAAAGCCCUUUUGUUGGGAAAGAAAAGCAGCAGGUUAAUACCCCGCUGUUCUGACGGUACCCAAAGAAUAAGCACCGGCUAACUUCGUG
rnacentral:rRNA from 1 species